rnacentral:rRNA from 1 species
GACGAACGCUGGCGGCGUGCUUAACACAUGCAAGUCGAACGGAAAGGCCCUGCUUUUGUGGGGUGCUCGAGUGGCGAACGGGUGAGUAACACGUGAGUAACCUGCCCUUGACUUUGGGAUAACUUCAGGAAACUGGGGCUAAUACCGGAUAGGAGCUCCUGCUGCAUGGUGGGGGUUGGAAAGUUUCGGCGGUUGGGGAUGGACUCGCGGCUUAUCAGCUUGUUGGUGGGGUAGUGGCUUACCAAGGCUUUGACGGGUAGCCGGCCUGAGAGGGUGACCGGCCACAUUGGGACUGAGAAUAGGCCCAGCAUCCUACGGGAGGCAGCAGUGAGGAAUAUUGCAAAAUGGGCGAAAGCCUGAUGCAGCAACGACGCGUGCGCGAUGACGGCCUUCGGGUUGUAAACCGCUUUCGCCUGUGACGAAGCGUGAGUGACGGUAAUGGGUAAAGAAGCACCGGCUAACUACGUG